GUUUGAUCCUGGCUCAGAACGAACGCUGGCGGCGUGCCUAAUACAUGCAAGUCGCGCGAGAAAGUCCGAUUUCGGUUGGACGAGUAAAGCGGCGAACGAGUGAGUAACACGUGGAAAACCUGCCCUUGGAUCCGGGAUAAGUCCUCGAAAGGGGGUCUAAUACCGGGUAACAUCACGAGGCGGCAUCGCUUUGUGCUCAAAGGAGGGGCAACCUUCCGUCCAGGGAUGGUUCCGCGCUCCAUUAGCCAGUUGGUGAGGUAACGGCUCACCAAAGCUACGAUGGAUAGCCGGCCUGAGAGGGUGACCGGCCACACUGGGACUGAGAUACGGCCCAGACUCCUACGGGAGGCAGCAGUAGGGAAUAUUGCGCAAUGGACGCAAGUCUGACGCAGCAACGCCGCGUGGGUGAUGAAGCUCCUUGGAGUGUAAAACCCUGUCAGUGGGGAAGAAACGUACGGGGAGUAACUACCCUGUACCUGACGGUACCCACAGAGGAAGUCCCGGCUAACUCCGUGCCAGCAGCCGCGGUAAUACGGGGGGGACGAGCGUUGUUCGGAUUUACUGGGCGUAAAGGGCGCGUAGGCGGACCGUUAAGUCGGAUGUGAAAACUGUCAGCUCAACUGCCAGCUUGCACCCGAUACUGAUGGCCUUGAGUACGGGAGAGGAGAGUGGAAUUCCAGGUGUAGCGGUGAAAUGCGUAGAUAUCUGGAAGAACACCAGUAGCGAAGGCGGCUCUCUGGCCCGAUACUGACGCUCAAGCGCGAAGGCUUGGGGAGCAAGCAGGAUUAGAUACCCUGGUAGUCCAAGCGGUAAACGAUGGGCACUAGGUGUCGGGGGUAUCGACCCCCUCGGCGCCGCAGCUAACGCAUUAAGUGCCCCG
rnacentral:rRNA from 1 species